rnacentral:rRNA from 1 species
GAUGAACGCUGGCGGCGUGCCUAAUACAUGCAAGUCGAGCGAACAGACGAGGAGCUUGCUCCUCUGACGUUAGCGGCGGACGGGUGAGUAACACGUGGAUAACCUACCUAUAAGACUGGGAUAACUUCGGGAAACCGGAGCUAAUACAGGAUAAUAUAUUGAACCGCAUGGUUCCAUAGUGAAAGACGGCUUUGCUGUCACUUAUAGAUGGAUCCGCGCCGCAUUAGCUAGUUGGUAAGGUAACGGCUUACCAAGGCAACGAUGCGUAGCAGACCUGAGAGGGAGAUCAGCCAGACUAGAACAGAGACACGGUCCAGACACCGAGGGUGAGCAGCAGUAGGAAAUCUUCCGGGAUGGGCGAGAGCCGGACAGAGCAACACGGCGGGAGUGAUGAAGGUCUUCGGAUCGGAGAACGCUGUAAUUAGGGAAGAAGAAAAGUGUAAGUAACUGUGCACGUCUUGACGGUACCUAAUUAAAAAGCCACGGCUAACUACGUG